GCUGGCCCCGCCCCUUACAUGAAAACCAGGGGUCAGGAUGACAUUGGAACAAGAACUACAGGCACUUGGUAAACCACUUCCUUCCCAUUUGGAGGAGACAGGACUCUGGACAUCCAUGGAGCUCUGGUUCCGAGCAAAGGGCGGGUUGUCAGUAAAGCUUGUGCCACUGAGAAAGGAGGGAAAGGAAUCAAGGCUUCUGGAAGAAACGGCCCAGUCCAGUUUGGGGGCAAAAAGUGUGUGAUGUGAAUCUGGAGAGUCUUCAUACAGUAGAGGGCGAAGAUACUUCAGAGGCCGGGGUGCUGUGUCAGAAGGGCUCAGAAUCACAUGGAAGACGCUGCUUCUGUCCAAGGAGUGUUCCAGACACACCAACCAGGAAGGGGGAAGGCACAGUAUCGUGGCACAAAUGGGCCCACCCCUAAUGAAAUGUGGGCUGUGAUCAUGAGAAGACACUAGCAUUCAACAGAAGAGACAAGCAGGUGGCACACGUCCCCUGAUGGG
rnacentral:lncRNA from 1 species